rnacentral:rRNA from 1 species
CUCAGAUUGAACGCUGGCGGCAGGCUUAACACAUGCAAGUCGAGCGGUAACAUUUCUAGCUUGCUAGAAGAUGACGAGCGGCGGACGGGUGAGUAAUACUUAGGAAUCUACCUAGUAGUGGGGGAUAGCUCGGGGAAACUCGAAUUAAUACCGCAUACGACCUACGGGAGAAAGGGGGCAGUUUACUGCUCUCGCUAUUAGAUGAGCCUAAGUCGGAUUAGCUAGAUGGUGGGGUAAAGGCCUACCAUGGCGACGAUCUGUAGCUGGUCUGAGAGGAUGAUCAGCCACACCGGGACUGAGACACGGCCCGGACUCCUACGGGAGGCAGCAGUGGGGAAUAUUGGACAAUGGGGGCAACCCUGAUCCAGCCAUGCCGCGUGUGUGAAGAAGGCCUUUUGGUUGUAAAGCACUUUAAGCAGUGAAGAAGACUCCGUGGUUAAUACCCACGGACGAUGACAUUAGCUGCAGAAUAAGCACCGGCUAACUCUGUGCCAGCAGCCGCGGUAAUACAGAGGGUGCAAGCGUUAAUCGGAAUUACUGGGCGUAAAGGGAGCGUAGGUGGCUCGAUAAGUCAGAUGUGAAAUCCCCGGGCUUAACCUGGGAACUGCAUCUGAUACUGUUGAGCUAGAGUAUGUGAGAGGAAGGUAGAAUUCCAGGUGUAGCGGUGAAAUGCGUAGAGAUCUGGAGGAAUACCGAUGGCGAAGGCAGCCUUCUGGCAUAAUACUGACACUGAGGCUCGAAAGCGUGGGUAGCAAACAGGAUUAGAUACCCUGGUAGUCCACGCCGUAAACGAUGUCUACUAGUCGUUGGGUCCCUUGAGGACUUAGUGACGCAGCUAACGCAAUAAGUAGACCGCCUGGGGAGUACGGCCGCAAGGUUAAAACUCAAAUGAAUUGACGGGGGCCCGCACAAGCGGUGGAGCAUGUGGUUUAAUUCGAUGCAACGCGAAGAACCUUACCUGGUCUUGACAUAUCUAGAAUCCUGCAGAGAUGCGGGAGUGCCUUCGGGAAUUAGAAUACAGGUGCUGCAUGGCUGUCGUCAGCUCGUGUCGUGAGAUGUUGGGUUAAGUCCCGCAACGAGCGCAACCCUUGUCCUUAGUUACCAGCGGGUUAAGCCGGGAACUCUAAGGAUACUGCCAGUGACAAACUGGAGGAAGGCGGGGACGACGUCAAGUCAUCAUGGCCCUUACGACCAGGGCUACACACGUGCUACAAUGGUAGGUACAGAGGGCAGCUACACAGCGAUGUGAUGCGAAUCUCAAAAAGCCUAUCGUAGUCCAGAUUGGAGUCUGCAACUCGACUCCAUGAAGUAGGAAUCGCUAGUAAUCGCGGAUCAGAAUGCCGCGGUGAAUACGUUCCCGGGCCUUGUACACACCGCCCGUCACACCAUGGGAGUUGAUUGCACCAGAAGUGGAUAGCCUAACCUUUUAGGAAGGCGUUCACCACGGUGUGGUUGAUGACUGGGGUGAA